AGCGGAGAAGAGAAAUGGUUGUCUCGUCAGGCUCAUAAUCUGAAGAUUGUAGGUUCAAUCCCUACCUCCGCUC
rnacentral:tRNA from 1 species